AUGGAUUUCAUGGCAUUGUUCUGCCAGCUGAAAAUGGAGGCAUGUGGCAGAGUGUGUACUUACGGGAUCUGUACAUGCUCAAAGUCCUCCUCACUCGACCUGAUGACGACCUCGCGUCCGGCCUUGUGGAGCAGGUGCUGCAAUCCUUGCGGAAGCGCCUUCAGCUUGGUGCACUUGCAGAGAGUUAGUAUCCUGAGCUUCGGCAUGGCGCCAUCCUCCAAUAUCCACUCCUCAAUAUCCAGAUCGUGGAGCACCAAAUUGUGCAGGUCUGGAAACCCACCAGAAGGGCAGGUCAUGGUCGCGCCAGUGUAUGACUUGACCCCUAUUUCCAACACAUUCAGGAACGUCAGCCAGCUCCCAAGUGUCGGCAUGGGGUCUUCAUCAUUCAGCAGAUUAGGACAGCUGAUUUUCAGCCGUCUCAGGUUGUGCGGGAGGAGGUGCAGAUCAGGAAGAUGCAGGUCGUUGGGCACCCCAAACUCGUCCUCGCACGCCCCGACAAUUUCCAGCUGCUUGACGCUCCGGUAG
rnacentral:rRNA from 1 species